GGCUUGAUGGUCUAGUGGUAUGAUUCUUGCUUUGGGUUAUUCACGAUUGCAAGAGGUCCUGGGUUCAAUUCCCAGUCAAGCCC